GUUGCAUGCCAAUGCGGACCAUCUAUCGCGACUGUCCAAUAUACUGGGAAAUGAACCCAUUCCUGAUGCAUUACCUGACGCUGAGUUAUUUCUUGUCGACUUAAUUACGCCGGAAUAUAGCGAAUUGAUACAGUAUUUGACUUUUCAAACUUUUCCUUUCCAUUUUAUGGAGAAGCUUAAGAGAAGAUUGGUUUUGAAAAGCGCACC
rnacentral:lncRNA from 1 species